UUACCGUAGGUGAACCUGCGGAAGGAUCAUUAAUGAGUUGUCAUGGGGUUCGAUGCUGGCAGCCAGUUUUUGGAUGCAUGUGCUUGCCCUAACAAUCAUCUUCUUCCAAACACCUGUGCACAUUUUUGAGGGAGUCUUGAGUUGGUUGCCGCUCUUGGGUGAUUUUCUCACAUUCCCUUAAAUCAUUAUACGCUAUUAACAAUGUUGAACGUGCUCUGUGCCGCAAGGCCAUUAAUAUAAUACAACUUUUAACAACGGAUCUCUUGGCUCUC
rnacentral:misc_RNA from 1 species